ensembl:lncRNA
CUGCGGCCGCCGGCCAGCAGCGACAGCGGGGACGAGAGUCCCGCGGGGGAAGCGGUGGAGCGCGGCCGCCUGAAGAAGAGGAAGGCUUGAGCUGGGGGCGCGCGAGGCCCGGCGGCAGGCGUCUGAGUUUGCUGGAGGAUUAAGCCACACAUCCGAUUUUAACUACGGGUCUAGCCAUACCACCAGAUCUGACACCCAGGCUGUAUGAAGUUGGUUCCUCAUGGAAUUGCUUUCAGUGAACUUCCAUUUGUAGUUGGCCAGAAGAUACCUGGGUAUACAGGUAUGUUACUGAAACUGUAGAUCACUUGAUUGAACACUGCUAUAAUUAUGAGGUUCAUGCAGAAGUUCUGUUAAACCUCAGCACUUGGUAAAGAUGUUUCUCCUGAUGAGUGGUUUGCUUUUUUUAUCUUUGAAGCACCAAGGAUCUCAUAAUUGAUCAUAUUUUUCUCUUUGCCCUGGUUUCUAGGGAGCCAAAUUUACUUAGCAUCUUUUGUGUAAAACCUGGAUCCUGAACUAUUACC